CUGUGGAAUUUGAAAUAAUGGCUUCUUCUUUGGGUAGGAAAAUGAGGCUUAAUAUCUCCAGUUAUGCUUACUGCUUACAGACACCAUCAGGAAUAAUAGAGUCAGCAUGCCUGGCACCAGAGCUAUUUUUUGUGGCAAUUACUGCCCCCCGCGAGUCACAUAUGUAUAAUAUGCUUCUGAGUAAUGAGUAGGCUACUGUAUGUAUAACCGAGGUUAUUUUCUUUAGCCCCAAUUUACAGAUGUUCCCUAAACGUCUCGUAAGCAUGCUAUUGGUAGGCACUUUCUAGGCUGCCGAGCACAGCGAAGGCGCUAGUACCCGGCUACCGGAGAGCACGCACCUCAGACAGGUGUGUGAGACAGAAGCUCAGUUAGGCAGAGAAGAGUGAAAUAAAACAUUUAUAACCUACGAUUUCCAAGACGUGAAAUUGAGUUGAGCUGGUGGCACUGCCAGAAAGAGAAACCUGCUAAACUGGAGAGUAGCUGUUGAGAGAGAAGUUGUCAUCAGGACGAACUCCGUCGGGCGUCUCUUCCCAAUUAAGUGGAUUAUGCUGGGAGGAUUCUUUUAGUUGAAGACGUGGAGCUGCUUCGUCUACUGUCUGGUUCGUCAUUGUGGCUUGUGGAUGCCUUCAUCUUGUCUGGACGCUGAUGUCUGGAUGUACCAUUCCAAGGGGCGCAGUAAAGCUCCCAGCCAAAAGGAUCAAACGUAUGAAGACAUGACCAGUGAUGGCACCCCACUGCAGCUGCUGUAGCUACUGUUGUGCUAGAUGUGUGUGUGUGUGUGUGUGUCCAAUAUGUGUGUGCAUUUUCUUGUGUGUGUGUGUUAUGCCAAGUAAAGAAGAAAAACAGGUGGCUUCCGCAGCCUGCGCAUGCAUAUGUUGUGAAUUUUUAACUGUAAACAUUUUUGGGCUUGUGAGUUUCGUCUCUGUAAUGAAUUGCCUCUGAACAAGUGGCGUCCACAUUAGUGGAAUAUUUGUCAUGUUUCCCACGGGACUUUAAGAUAACUUCAGCAUUGAAUUUAACCUUCACUACAAUCAAUGCCAUAUACCCAUUGAAAACCUGCAUUGUUUUAUACAGUAAAUUAUGUUAAACUAAUCCAGUAACCACAAUUUUGGAAGUAAUUAAGUAAGUAAAGUUGAUUUGUGAUGACAUGUCACAUUAUCCUAUCAUCUCUUAAUUAGAUAAUUAAAUAUAUACCAGGACAAUAUUCUGUUAUUAAGUCUUCAUCUCUUAAGAGUGAUCACAAAAUUACCAUAUGAAUAUUCCACCAAUAUCACUGAGUAAGCACAUUUUUUAUAUUAUAUAGUUAUUUGGCAAGUAAAUCAGCAAACUAAAUAAGCCUGGACCAUUACUAUCGUGUCAAAAAAGUCAAUGUAAAGAGCCACAGCAGACCUGGGUUCAACGGACCACCAACCUCUUUGAAGUUUGAGAAGGAAAGAAUGGAACAUGCAUUGACUGAAUACAAUGUGGAUAAAUAAUAAAAAGUAUAGUGUAUCCAAAUGUAAAAGAGUCACAAAAUAUACUCAAGUAAGAGUAAAAAGUAUGCUGCUUUAAAACCACUCCAAUAAGUACAAUUUACUCAGAAAAGUUACUUAAGUUCAUGUAAUGGACUUUUCUUAAUUCUUAUUGAAAGCUGCUUCCAUAAAAGCCCUUAUCUCUGAAGUAUUGAUAUGGGUUUUAUUAAGAGAUUACGAGAAUUAAAUAGAGAUAUAUCAGAGCUCCCUUAAACUUUUUUACUAGCAACAAAGGUCAAAUACUUUGACGUGCACACAACUACUCUAGCCUAUGGUAAAGAGAUUACAUCACACUGAACAUGUUGGAGCUCAUAACAUCAUUUGAUGUGUAGUUAUGACCUGAGAUGAGCUAUCAUCAGUGUUUUUUUUGAAAUUUUGGUAAACCCAUAUUUGUUCAGACAAAAGGUUACAGUUCAUCAGUGGGAAUAACACAUGGAGAGAUAAUUGCUGGUGCACAUGGAAAGUGAAAUGUUUCUUUGUUCAUCUAUAUCUCUCGUUACAGCUCAGUGUAUCAUUAUCCAAUCAAAGAGGAGACCAACUAAACAAACAGGGCAGACCAUAAUUGAUGAUGAAGCUGCAUAGUAAUCUGUAAUUCCAUCUGUUCUCACACCAGAACCAGCGUCAUUAUUUAAAUAAAAGAGCAAAUCAGAAAUGUGUCAGGUGAUUUGUCUUUUUCUUUUCUCUCUCUCCAGACAUUAUGUGAUUUAUGCUGGCACAUCAGGCAGGGCAUGAAUAAACUGGUUUACACAGAGAUGUUCCCAGCAAAGACUGAAAAUAAACACAGAAGGAAGUGCAAACAUCAAGGAAUGUCAACAAGAGGAUUGUUUUUUUGGAACCUGAAUACAUUUGGCACAUUAAAAUUACUGGAAUUAAUUGUAUUCUAUCAGAGUUAUUCUCAAAUUGUGGCUAAAUCAAAAUACCA